AUAAAGCAAAGCACUGAAAAUGCUUAGAUGAGUACUUGCACUCCAUAAACA
rnacentral:tRNA from 1 species